GCUGGCGGUGCGCCUUAUGCAUGCAAGUCGAGCGAAGCUUUUCAGUAGUUUACUACAGAAAAUGACUGAGCGGCGAACGGGUGAGUAACGCGUGAGCAAUCUACCUUAGUUACAGGGAUAGCCCGAGGAAACUCGGAUUAAUACCUGAUAUUCUUUAUAUUUCGCAUGAAAUUAAAAGGAAAGGUCAGCCGAACUAAGAUGAGCUCGCGUUCUAUCAGCUAGUUGGUGAGGUAAAAGCUCACCAAGGCUACGACGGAUAGCUGGUCUGAGAGGACGAUCAGCCACACUGGGACUGAGACACGGCCCAGACUCCUACGGGAGGCUGCAGCAGGGAAUAUUGCGCAAUGAGCGAAAGCUUGACGCAGCGACACCGCGUGUGGGAUGACGGAUCUAGGUUUGUAAACCACUUUCAGGAGGGAAGAAAAUGACGGUACCUCCACAAGAAGCCCCGGCCAACUACGUGCCAGCAGCCGCGGUAAUACGUAGGGGGCGAGCGUUGUCCGGAUUUAUUGGGCGUAAAGAGCUCGUAGGCGGUUCAACAAGUCGGUCGUGAAAGUUCAGGGCUCAACCCUGAAAUGUCGAUCGAUACUGUUGUGACUAGGAUACGGUAGAGGUGAGUGGAAUUCCGAGUGUAGCGGUGAAAUGCGUAGAUAUUCGGAGGAACACCAAUUGCGAAGGCAGCUCACUGGGCCGCUAUCGACGCUGAGGAGCGAAAGCUAGGGGAGCAAACAGGAUUAGAUACCCUGGUAGUCCUAGCUGUAAACGAUGGAUACUAGACGUAGGAACUGGAUUGACGGUUUCUGUGUCGCAGCUAACGCGUUAAGUAUCCCGCCUGGGGAGUACGG
rnacentral:rRNA from 1 species